rnacentral:siRNA from 1 species
AAGAGCAUUGGCCUCAAAAUCCGC